GAUGAACGCUGGCCGCGUGCCUAAUACAUGCAAGUCGAGCGAACGGACGAGAAGCUUGCUUCUCCGAUGUUAGCGGCGGACGGGUGAGUAACACGUGGAUAACCUACCUAUAAGACUGGGAUAACUUCGGGAAACCGGAGCUAAUACCGGAUAAUAUUUUGAACCGCAUGGUUCAAAAGUGAAAGACGGUCUUGCUGUCACUUAUAGAUGGAUCCGCGCUGCAUUAGCUAGUUGGUAAGGUAACGGCUUACCAAGGCAACGAUGCAUAGCCGACCUGAGAGGGUGAUCGGCCACACUGGAACUGAGACACGGUCCAGACUCCUACGGGAGGCAGCAGUAGGGAAUCUUCCGCAAUGGGCGAAAGCCUGACGGAGCAACGCCGCGUGAGUGAUGAAGGUCUUCGGAUCGUAAAACUCUGUUAUUAGGGAAGAACAUAUGUGUAAGUAACUGUGCACAUCUUGACGGUACCUAAUCAGAAAGCCACGGCUAACUACGUG
rnacentral:rRNA from 1 species